rnacentral:rRNA from 1 species
GACGAACGCUGGCGGCGUGCCUAAUACAUGCAAGUAGAACGCUGAAGGAGGAGCUUGCUUCUCUGGAUGAGUUGCGAACGGGUGAGUAACGCGUAGGUAACCUGCCUGGUAGCGGGGGAUAACUAUUGGAAACGAUAGCUAAUACCGCAUAAGAGUAGAUGUUGCAUGACAUUUUCUUAAAAGGUGCAAUUGCAUCACUACCAGAUGGACCUGCGUUGUAUUAGCUAGUUGGUGGGGUAACGGCUCACCAAGGCGACGAUACAUAGCCGACCUGAGAGGGUGAUCGGCCCAACUGGGAAUGGGAAACGGCCCAGACUCCUACGGGGGGCAGCAGUAGGGAAACUUCGGCAAUGGAGGGAAGUCUGAACGAGCAAAGCCGCGUGAGUGAAGAAGGUUUUCGGAUCGUAAAGCUCUGUUGUAAGGGAAGAACGAGUGUGAGAGUGGAAAGUUCACACUGUGACGGUAUCUUACCAGAAAGGGACGGCUAACUACGUG